ACCCUAUGGCUGUGAUAAAUGAAGCUGAAGCUGAUUCUUGUACCCGAGGACUAUUUUCCUCUACCACCUGCGCCUCUGAGCAUGAAGACAAAAGGGAUACUUUGCUCUAAUUUGAGCUGUAAGGAAUAACUGUCUUUUUCCAUGGAUAUUCUGCCCGGUUGUAGAGAUUUCGAUGAAGAAGAAAUCAAAUGUUGCAAAUUUGAUUUACUGGCUGAAAUUUUUUCAAUUUGAUCACUGGUUGAAGAUUGAGAUCAUUCCAUGACAAAGCUUUUGUCUGAAGGAUCAGUGAAUCCAUAUCCAUUUGAUAAAGAAGGUGUAGUAGCAGAGGCUAGUGUUUUGAUAGAAUUUGUGGAGGGUUUGAUAUUCGGAAUGUUGUUGUAAGAACUCCUCUAGUGUAUGA